rnacentral:rRNA from 1 species
AGCAGCCGCGGUAAUUCCAGCUCCAAUAGCGUAUAUUAAAGUUGUUGCAGUUAAAAAGCUCGUAGUUGAAUUUCGGGGUCAGUAGGUUGGUCAUGCCUUCGGUAUGUACUGGUCUCACUGAUUCCUCCCUCUUGAAGAACCGUAAUGUCAUUAAUUUGAUGUUGCGGGGAAACAGGACUGUUACUUUGAAAAAUUAGAGUGUUUAAAGCAGGCUCACGCUUGAAUACAUUAGCAUGGAAUAAUGAAAUAGGACGUUCGAUCCUAUUUUGUUGGUUUCUAGGAUUGACGUAAUGAUUAAUAGGGAUGGUUGGGGGCAUUAGUAUUCAAUUGUCAGAGGUGAAAUUCUUGGAUUUAUUGAAGACUAACUACUGCGAAAGCAUUUGCCAAGGAUGUUUUCAUUAAUCAAGAACGAAAGUUAGGGGAUCGAAGACGAUCAGAUACCGUCGUAGUCUUAACCAUAAACUAUGCCGACUAGGGAUCGGAUGAUGUUAAUUUUUAAUGUACUCAUUCGGCGCCUUAA